AUUGAACGCUGGCGGAAUGCUUUACACAUGCAAGUCGAACGGCAGCACGGACUUCGGUCUGGUGGCGAGUGCGAACGGGUGAGUAAUGUAUCGGAACGUGCCCAGUCGUGGGGGAUAACGUAGUGAAAAUUACGCUAAUACCGCAUACGAUCUAUGGAUGAAAGCGGGGGAUCGCAAGACCUCGCGCGAUUGGAGCGGCCGAUAUCAGAUUAGGUAGUUGGUGGGGUAAAGGCCCACCAAGCCAACGAUCUGUAGCUGGUCUGAGAGGACGAACAGCCACACUGGAACUGAGACACGGUCCAGACUCCUACGGGAGGCAGCAGUGGGGAAUUUUGGACAAUGGGCGAAAGCCUGAUCCAGCCAUUCCGCGUGCAGGAUGAAGGCCCUCGGGUUGUAAACUGCUUUUGUACAGAACGAAAAGGUUUCUACUAAUACUAGGAGCUCAUGACGGUACUGUAAGAAUAAGCACCGGCUAACUACGCGCCAGCCGCCGCAGUAA
rnacentral:rRNA from 1 species